rnacentral:rRNA from 1 species
GAUGAACGCUGGCGGCGUGCUUAACACAUGCAAGUCGAACGAUUAAAGCCCCUUCGGGGGUGUAUAGAGUGGCGAACGGGUGAGUAACACGUGGGCAACCUGCCCUUCACUCUGGGAUAACUCAGGGAAACUUGAGCUAAUACCGGAUACUCCGAAUCGAUCGCAUGGUCGGUUCGGGAAAGUUCCGACGGUGAAGGAUGGGCCCGCGGUCCAUUAGCUUGUUGGUGGGGUAACGGCUCACCAAGGCUGCGAUGGAUAGCCGAGCUGAGAGGCUGAUCGGCCACACUGGGACUGAGACACGGCCCAGACUCCUACGGGAGGCUG